rnacentral:rRNA from 1 species
AUUGAACGCUGGCGGCAGGCCUAACACAUGCAAGUCGAACGAGUGGCGGACGGGUGACUAAUGUCUGGGAAACUACCCGAUGGAGGGGGAUAACUACUGGAAACGGUAGCUAAUACCGCAUACCAUCGGAUGUGCCCAGAUGGGAGUAGCUAGUAGGUGGGGUAACGGCUCACCUAGGCGCCGACCCCUAGCUGGUCUGAGAGGAUGACCAGCCACACUAGAACGGAGACACGAUCCAGACGCAUAAUGUAGGCAGCAGUGGGGAAUAUUGCACAAUGGGCGCAAUCCUGAUGCAGCCAUGCCGCGUGUAUGAAGAAGGCCGUCGGGUUGUAAAGUACUUUAAGCGAGGAGGCGUUACUCGCAGAGGAAGCACCGGCUAACUCCGUGCCAGCAGCCGCGGUAAUAC